CCAGCACAGCUGCUGUGACUGCUCUCUGGAUGAUUCAUCUUUUCAUAGCCACCACCCAUGCUGGAGACUUAUCUCUAGGACCUCUGCUUUUUAGUUUCAUGUUAAAUUCAAGGUCCCGGUGCAGAAAUCAGAUUGAUAGAGCCCAAAUUUUGGGCUAUCUCUAGGUGCAAGGUAACUCUGGGACUUUCAGAUCUAUGGAACUGUUGCAAUGACAGGAUGUCAUCAGCUGGCUUGAAAAUAACCCAGUGCAGCAUCCAAGAGCUUCUGGCACUUCCAGAAAACUGUUCUCCUGGCCAAUUCCUGCCUCCACACUUUAACCACGUCUGCACGGGACAGCUUGACAAUAGCCUGGCUAACCAAGACCUGACAAGAUCACAUAGCAAUUAACUGAAACAGCUGCCAAGAAACAGCUGCAAAUAAAAAUAGACUAAGAAACCUACACUUCUGCCAGCAAUCAAGAGUAGCAGCAAAACAGAGGAAUAUAACAGUGCUAUACUGGGAGGAUGGCAAUCUCAGUCUCAGUUCCAACUUUGCUUCUAACUUGGCAUUUGAUCUUAGACAAAUUCCUUCUCUUCAGGUUUUCUCGUUUAUGUAACUGGAUUACAAAAUGUAAGGUCUCUGCCAGUUAUACUUUCUGCAUACCCAUACAUAAGAUGACAAUUAGUCAUCUGGGUGGUUAUAAACAGACAUUACAAUCAAUAUCAACUCAGGGCUUGCAGAUGGCUCUCGCAAUGGUUCCACCAUUGAAAUAAACACAUAACCUACCAAUAAGACUACUUUCAAGAAUUCUCAUUUGGAAAUGUACAUUCUGGUACUCUUUUUAAGCCUCAUAAUUGUUUUCUAGAAAAGAACUAAAAUGUGUAGGGUAUUUUCAAGAUAUUAUUCAACUCUAGGGAAAAGAAAAUUUUUAAAUAAUUAAUAUAUUAUAAGGUUCUUGGGAUAGCAUUUGUCAAAGAUGCCACAAAGUUUUAAAUUAAAAAAAUUAGCAUACAAAUAAAAUAUCCAAAGUCAAAACAUGUCACAAAAUGAUCAAUAGCAAAGCUGACAUUUAUGCUUAUUAGAGGCUAAACUGUAAAUAAAUUUUCAUGACAUGAUAUAGGAUUUAAUAUAUACAGUCUUGCCACUGAUUGAUUUUAACAGAGGUUGACAGCUGCUAUUUUCAAAAUCCAUCAGCUGUGCUCAAUUUCUUACAUUAACAGGUGAAUGCGUAAGUAGAUACUUAAAAAAAGUUUAUGCUAACUUAUACCAUGUAAUUUAAUAUUCACACAAAAGCUGUGACAGUUGACAAAAACUGCUUUACUUUCUAAAUGCAUGGACUCAACUAUGUCAACCUUGUAAAUACUACCUACUAUCUUUUUCAAUUUCAUUUUACCAACAAGGAAACAGCCUUAAGCAAAAUAAAACUCAUUUUGAUGUCCCUAAAGCAAGCUUGUCCAACCAUGGCCUGCAGGCAGCCGCAUGUAGCCCAGGUUGGCUUUGAGUGCGGCCCAAUACAAAUUCAACUUUCUUAAAACAUUCUAAAAUGCUUUUUUUUGCGAUUUUUUUUUUUUUUGGUUUAUCAGCUAUCAUUAGUGUUAGUAUAGUUUAUGUGUGGCCCAAGACAAUUCUUUUUCCAAUGUGGUUUAGGGAAGCCAAAAGAUUGAACACCCCUGCACCUAAAGCAUAUAGUCACAAACAAGUAUCCACCCUUUACUUGGGUUAAUCAGGCUUAAGGAUUCCAGGAUAAAUGAAGAGAAAAUAAAAAGUAUUUAGAUAAACCACAAAUUUAACUAUUAAAACCAGCCAUUUUGUCUUAUGAUGAUUUAUAACAAAUACUGACUACAAAUCAUGUGCCUUAAAGUUUCAUGGCACCAGGAUAGGUAUUGGUGAUAUUUGCGUUGUUAGAAACCAGACAGACCAUAAGGACUAAACAGUAAACACACCAUCAAUAUGCUCUUCUGCACAAUUUCAAGGAUGCAAUGAUAUGAUAAUAUUCUGAAAAUGACUAAGUGAGGGUCAACUGAGGGGUAUAUAGGUCUACUUAUUUUAUGUAGCUUAUUUAGAAUAAAAAGACAAUAUGUAUUGUAAUAAAAUUCUGAAUAUUUUAAGUUGAAUGCAAAUAAUAAAAUUUUAUUACAGAUUGCACAGAUCCAUAAAGCAACUUAGUUAUUUAAUACAACCAAAUGCCAGUGUAUUAAAAAUAUGGCACAAUACUUUUGUUUCUGUAAAUAUUCAUCAAAACAUGAAAUGGAUACAUGAAACAGGUGCUGCUUUGUUUCCACUGGAGAGUCUUAAGGUCUCCAAGAAGAAACUUGUCCACUCUUGUGAAAUGAGUAUGAUAGCAUACAACACAUCCAGCUGGUUCAUGGAAGAAAUUACGGUACUGAAGACAAUGCCUGGCAGAGAGCAGGCAUACCAAUAUUUAAAUAUUUUCAUGUUUGAAGAAAAAAUAACAAAAGCCAAAUCAAAAAACUUCUCCCAAAACCAACAAGAAUGGAAAAAACAAGACAAGCAAACAAAAAUUCUUGGCGAUCAUUUCAAAACUUUUUUAUUUAAAUAACUCUUCUUAGUAUAAAAAAAGAUUUAAUAAUGGCCAUUAAAAACUACACACUUCUACACUCCCUGCCAUAAUAUGUAAGAAGUAUUUUCAAUGUUUUAGUGUUACUAGCUAAGAUCCUAUGAAAUUUAAAACUUUCAUCUACUAACUGUAUGAACUGAAAAAAAAAGCAAAUCUUUCCUUUAAGGAAAAGUCUGUCAAACCCUAUACUAGAUUAUGGAAUGCCUUCAAAUUUCUGAGAAAACAUAAAUUACAACAUAGAAUUUUAUAACCAGCCAAACUAUCAACUGGACAGAUAUGAGAGGGCUCAAAAUUUAAGUGUCUGCAUUCUUUCUAAAGAAGUCACUGAUGUAUGCACAUUACCAACAAGGAAGAAAACCAUGAAACAGGAAGACAUGAGCUGAAGAAAUGUGAAACCAACAGAAAAGGUGAGGAAAGCCCCAGAGCUAAAAAGCAGGCUCAGCCAGCAUUCCAUACAGACCUAAAAGACAAUAGAAAACUUGAGAGGGUGGGAUGAGAACCAUGAAACUGUCUGAUAAUUUUCAAUCUGUGGAAAAUUGGAAAAUAGUAUUGAGAUGCUAUCAUAGAUGCAUGAAAAAACUAACUAAAAUUUUAGAAAUUAAAGAGGUAAGAAUUAACUCCAGAAAAACAAAAAAUUAUUCACCAAGGAAAUGUAACCCUAGUAUUGUUUAUGGUUUAGCAAUAAACAAUACUUAUACUGCCAUAAUUAUAUGGCACGGAUUAUGUACUCAACCACAAUUAUGAUAUAGCUGCACUGAAAGGUUUGAGGGAAACAAUUACAUAGGUGGGUCCUGGAGAGAGAGGUGACAGAGAGCUAAAUCCUCACGUGAAGAAAUAAGUUCUUUUAUAAUUCUUACCUCUUUAAUUUUCUAAAAUUUGUUAGUUUUUAUGCAUCUGUGACAGCAUCUCAGUACUAUUUUCCAAUUUUUCACAGAGUCAAAAUCAUCAGACAGUUUCAUGGUUCUCACCCUACUCUCCCAAGUGUUCUAGUGUCUUGUAGGUCUGGAUGGAAUGCUGGUGGGCCUGCCUAUCCUUGUAUCAACUAUAUCCUUUAUCUAAAAUCCACAAAACUCUAUGUCAGUAGCUAAUAAGACUUUUUUUGGUUUCAUGCUGCCAAAGAAUUACCAUAUUUUGAUUAUAAAAGAGAACUUUUAAAUGUCAAAGACACAUUAUUUCUAAGUUAUCAAAUUGGGAAAAAAGAGGAACUUAAUGAAAAUUGAAGUGAAAUGUAAAUUUAGAAAAAGUAUCUUUCUGAAUUUAUACAGCUUUAUUUUUUACAAAAUACUGUAAAAGCCUCUAUAAUACAGAACAAACUAUAUUUAUAUUAGUUACACAUGUGGUACUCUGAAACCGAAGUUAUUAUUACCAUGGUGUUUUAUUUAUAUAUAUAUUUCAAUUGUACUUUAUAAAAAAUCCUUCUCAGAGAAAAAUAAGCAGAACACAUUUAUUGAGGUAAUACAUAUUUUAUCAACAGAAACAUAUAACACGUGUUAUAUGUUUAUAGUUAAUAAGUGAAUGUCUCAUAUAUCUAGACUACCAAACACCAGUUAUUUUUCAGUAUCUAAAAGUUCCCAAUCCCUCCUCAUCCUCUACCAAUUUCCUACUGUGAGUUCUUUAUUAUGAUUGUCAUUUAUUACAAUCAGAUUUUUUGGAAAUAGUCUUCUAAAUCUGUAUUUCACCUUUUUAAGAAGUUACAAAAUUUUAUUUUAUAAAAUCUAUCCAUCUUUUCCUUUCUCCUGAGUUUUAAAAUACUUAAAAAAUUAUUCAAUAUUUUGUUUUACAGGUCUUACUUUCAACUCUGAAACUCAUUUUGAUAUAUGGUGUUAUGUAAAAGCUAGCUUAAUUUCGCCCCCAAAGUUUCUAUUUCUAAAGACUAAUUUUCCAAACAAGCCCUCUUCUGUCAUAUUAAAUUCUCAUGUACAAUAAGAAGCCUGUUUUUCUGGCUAGAUUAUUUUACGAAUCUGCCUAUUCUUAUGCCAGUAUUACACACUUAAUUACUGUUUUUAUAAUAUGCUUAUUUAAUUUUUGAAGCUAAAAAUUCUGCUUUAUUACUCAUAUUUAUCAACAUUUUCUUUGAUAUUUUUAUAUACUUUCAAGAAAAAAAAAAUCCCAUAUGGAUUUUAUUUGGAUUUGUUUGAUUGGUAUUGCACUAAAAUCAUAUUAUUUUUACACCCUUUCAAGAAAAUGU